GAUGGACGCUGGCGGCGUGCUUAACACAUGCAAGUCGAGCGAGAAGAUUUGAAAAGAUUCUUCGGAUGAAAUUUAACAUGGAAAGCGGCGGACGGGGGAGUAACGCGUAGGCAACCUGCCCCAUACAAAGGGAUAGCAUGUGGAAACGAAUAAUAAUACCUAAUGAAACUUAACUAGUGCAUGAUAGGUAGGUCAAAGAUUUAUCGGAAGGGGAUGGGCCUGCGUCGGAUUAGCUAGAUGGUGAGGUAACGGCGCACCAAGGCGACGAUCAGUAGCCGACCUGCGAGGGUGCGCGGCCACAUUGUAACUGAGACACGGUCCGAGCACCUACGGGAGGCAGCAGAGGCCUAUCUUGCCCAAUGCGCGAGACUCAGAUGGGUCUUCGCCGCGUGAACGACUAUUGUCAUUGAGUCGUAAAUUUCUGUUCUAGGUGGUGCAACCUGACGGUACCCAAGCAGAAAGCCCCGGCUAACUCCGUG
rnacentral:rRNA from 1 species